UACACUUCUGCGGGAGGCAGCAGUGGGGAAUUUUGGACAAUGGGCGAAAGCCUGAUCCAGCCAUGCCGCGUGCAGGAUGAAGGCCUUCGGGUUGUAAACUGCUUUUGUACGGAACGAAACGGCCUUUUCUAAUAAAGAGGGCUAAUGACGGUACCGUAAGAAUAAGCACCGGCUAACUACGUGCCAGCAGCCGCGGUAAUACGUAGGGUGCAAGCGUUAAUCGGAAUUACUGGGCGUAAAGCGUGCGCAGGCGGUUAUGUAAGACAGUUGUGAAAUCCCCGGGCUCAACCUGGGAACUGCAUCUGUGACUGCAUAGCUAGAGUACGGUAGAGGGGGAUGGAAUUCCGCGUGUAGCAGUGAAAUGCGUAGAUAUGCGGAGGAACACCGAUGGCGAAGGCAAUCCCCUGGACCUGUACUGACGCUCAUGCACGAAAGCGUGGGGAGCAAACAGGAUUAGAAACCCGUGUAGUCCC
rnacentral:rRNA from 1 species